CUUCAGUCUGUGUCUGUCUGCCCAUUUAAUUUGAUCCCAUGCAGAUCGCUCAAGGGCUUGGGUGCGUCGCGACGUUGCCGUGAAACCACAGACGCCGACAGAGAUGGACAACCCAACAGGACCACUGAAUUGGACAACCGAAUGACCUAUUUGAAGGACUGCCCCUGCAGCCAAUGGCCGUGGGACCUGACAAAAUAGACAUCGAAUAUGGGUUCAGGGGGAGGAGUUAUUGCAAUCCUCAUGACGAGUGGUCACUGUGAGAGCUAGAGAUGUCUGAAAGAAAACGGGAAGGGAAAUUAUAUUUUUCCUUGAUCUUUAACUAACUUGCUAGCUAUUCCAAGUGGUAUUUAGAUAGCUAUUCCGGUUUCAUGUUAUUGUUUUUAUGGGUAUGAAAACGUCCAGACAAAGAGAAACAGAACGUGAAGCUCCGUUUUGCUUAAUCACCCUUCUGUUACCAAAAGCAGAUCAUAUGGAAGAAGGGGCACAUUGAAGGAACUCACACAAGCAAGACCUGCAUUCUCAAGUUUGCAGUAUAUACUGGGAUGAUUAUUCUCUUCAUAAGUGGAUAAAAUGCCCUGACUUCCAUGCAAUGGAGGGUUUAAGCUUCUCUAUGGGUUCAGUGGUGAUUCCCAAGACCUUGCUGCGCAUUCAAUGCUUUGGUGCAGCGGUCCUGGGGCUGAUCGUGUUGGUUACGAUGAUCACAGCAGCUUCACCUGCAGCAGAUGAUGCAGGCCCAGGCUUAUUCCCACGAGGGGUUGAAAUUACAUCGGCGGAAGAAGGGAUUGUGCUGUGCAGAGAGAGAUUCAUCAAAGUGGCUUCCUCUCCUGCUGGAAGGUUUUUCUUCAGCUGUUCGCGCACACACAAAAAAUUCUUGAGGCAAGUCAAAGUUUGUUGGCCGACGUCUACAC
ensembl:lncRNA